rnacentral:tRNA from 1 species
ACUUUGGUGUCCGAGUGGUUAGGGAGGUGGACUUGAAAUCCAUUGGGAUCUGACCGCACUGGUUCGAUUCCUGUCCGCAGCG